GCGUUGGUGGUAUAAUGGCUAGUAUCGCACCUUGCCAAGGUGUGGAUCCGGGUUCGAGUCCCGGCCAGCGCA
rnacentral:tRNA from 1 species